rnacentral:rRNA from 1 species
CCUAGUGGUCUUAUGAAGUAUUAAUGCACUAUAUCUCAUUAGAACUCUGCAAUUAAGCGCGCUUAGGCUAGAGUAGUAUUGGGAUGGGUCACCACCUGGGAAGUCCUAGUGUUUUACAUGCC